rnacentral:rRNA from 1 species
AGUGAACGCUGGCGGCGUGCUUCACACAUGCAAGUCGAACGAGUGACUGCUUUGUAGCAAUACAAAGUAGAAGCUAGUGGCGGACGGGUGAGUAACGCGUAGGAAUCUGCCUUUGAGUGGGGGAUAGCAGACCGAAAGGUCUAUUAAUACCGCAUACGUAUAUACUUCGACAGUUGUAUAUAUAAAAGAGCAAUCUGCUCAUAGAUGAGCCUGCGUCCGAUUAGCUAGUUGGUAGUGUAAUAGACUACCAAGGCGACGAUCGGUAGGUGGUCUGAGAGGAUGAUCACCCACAAUGGAACUGAGACACGGUCCAUACUCCUACGGGAGGCAGCAGUGGGAAUUUUGUGCAAUGGGGAAACCCUGACACAGCGACACCGCGUGAGCGAAGAAGCCCCUUCGGGGUGUAAA